rnacentral:lncRNA from 10 species
AUAUAAGAAACUAAUUGAGGAUCAAACCAUGCCAAUAGAGAACUAAUAAAUAGAAUGGAGGGAAGAAGGCAUAGAAUUGAUAGGGCCAAGAUUCACAUAAGAGGCAAUGAAAAAUAAACUUGUGAUAAUCAAAUGAUUGCAAAUUAAAAACUCAAAGCUAUCAGAGAAAGCUAACGGUAAUGAAGGAAAGACAAAAACAAUCCAAAAGAAAGACAUUUGAUGCCCCUAAAGCAGAGAACUCAUCAAAGAGAUCAGAAAAGCAUCUAAAAAUGUAAUAGGAAAUUUUCCUGAAGAAAAACAUAAAUAUGCAAAACAAAAAAGCACACAGACCAGGAAAAAUG